rnacentral:rRNA from 1 species
GACGAACGCUGGCGGCGUGCUUAACACAUGCAAGUCGAACGCUGAAGACCUGGCUUUUGUUGGGUUGGGUGAGUGGCGAACGGGUGAGUAACACGUGAGUAACCUGCCCUCUUCUUUGGGAUAACGCCCGGAAACGGGUGCUAAUACUGGAUAUUCACUGAUCUUCGCAUGGGGGUUGGUGGAACGGUUUGUUCUGGUUGGGGGUGGGCUCGCUGCCUAUCAGCUUGUUGGUGGGGUGAUGGCCUACCAAGGCUUUGACGGGUAGCCGGCCUGAGAGGGUGACAGGUGACAUUGGGACUGAGAUACGGCCCAGACGGCGACGGGAGGGAGCAGUGGGGAAUAUUGCACAAUGGGCGAAAGCCUGAUGCAGGGACGCGGCGUGAGGGAUGGAGGCUUUCGGGGUGUAAAUCUCGUUAGCUAAGGGCCAAGCCGCAACUGCGGGUUGUGGUGAGGGUAGUGGGUAAAGAAGCGCCGGCUAACUACGUG